UACGAAGGGGGGCUAGCGUUGUUCGGAUUUACUGGGGCGUAAAGGGCGCGUAGGCGGGCUGAUCAGUCAGGGGUGAAAUCCCAAGGCUCAACCUUGGAACUGCCUUUGAUACUGUCGGUCUUGAGUUCGAGAGAGGUAAGUGGAACUGCGAGUGUAGAGGUGAAAUUCGUAGAUAUUCGCAAGAACACCAGUGGCGAAGGCGGCUUACUGGCUCGAAACUGACGCUGAGGCGCGAAAGCGUGGGGAGCAAACAGG
rnacentral:rRNA from 1 species